ACUUCUCUCUGCCUGUGUCUUAGAAAGACCAGCUCCUCCUGCUGUCUUCUGUGCUAGGGAUCACUUCCUUGUUGAGUGGCACCUGAAUUUUGAGAGGUUCCUCUGCUCCUCUUCAUCUGAUCCCUUUCCUUCCAAGGCCCCGCAGAGGAAGGCAUGCGGUGGGCCCUAGCCCUGGUUCUAGCUCUCCUGUCUCCUGCCAGUCAGAAAUCUUCCAACUUGGAAGGGAAAACGAAGUCAAUCACCGGGCCUACUGGGUCACCUGCUGAAAUCACCUGUGAUCUUCCUGGAGUCAGUACCUUAUACAUCCACUGGUACCUACACCAGGAGGGGAAGGCCCCACAGCGUCUUCUAUACUAUGAACCCUACUACUUCACGGUUGUGUUGGAAUCAGGAAUCAGUCCAGGAAAGUAUGACACUGCAAGCACAAGGAAGAGCUGGAAUUUGAGACUGCAAAAUCUAAUUGAAAAUGAUUCUGGGAUCUAUUACUGUGCCACCUGGGACAGGCACCAUGAUUCAGACCUGCCCUACACCACACUAAAAAUCUGCCUGUGGUUGCUUCUGGUACACAAGAUAGACCAGCCAACUCUUAUUUCCUGCCCUGAAUUUACUGUAUUCUGUACAAAGAGAAACACAGCUUAACUCCUGCUCUCCCCCCUAAUAUCACACUCCCCUGGGCAGCAGCUGCAUCCUGUUCCCCACUCUCCCCCAGGACUUUCCCGAAGACCAAGUUGCCAUCUCCAGGCCUCAGCUCAGCAGCCUGGCUGAGGUCUCCUAGGACAUGGGGGAGGCCCACUCACUCUGCUUCCUAGGACAGACAGGUACACCUAGAGUCCAACUGUGAAGCAAGAUAUUUUGGACA